rnacentral:rRNA from 1 species
AUUGAACGCUGGCGGCAUGCCUUACACAUGCGAGUCGAACGGUAACAGGUCUUCGGAUGCUGACGAGUGGCGAACGGGUGAGUAAUACAUCGGAACGUGCCCGAUCGUGGGGGAUAACGAAGCGAAAGCUUUGCUAAUACCGCAUAAGAUCUACGGAUGAAAGCAGGGGACCGCAAGGCCUUGCGCGAACGGAGCGGCCGAUGGCAGAUUAGGUAGUUGGUGGGAUAAAAGCUUACCAAGCCGACGAUCUGUAGCUGGUCUGAGAGGACGACCAGCCACCCUGGGACUGAGACACGGCCCAGACUCCUACGGGAGGCAGCAGUGGGGAAUUUUGGACAAUGGGCGAAAGCCUGAUCCAGCCAUGCCGCGUGCAGGAUGAAGGCCUUCGGGUUGUAAACUGCUUCUGUACGGAACGAAAAGACUCUUUCUAAUAAAGAGGGUCCAUGACGGUACCGUAAGAAUAAGCACCGGCUAACUACGUGCCAGCCGCCGCGGUAACAC